GACGAACGCUGGCGGCGUGCUUAACACAUGCAAGUCGAACGGUAAGGCUCCAGCUUGCUGGGGUACACGAGUGGCGAACGGGUGAGUAACACGUGGGUGACCUGCCCUGCACUUCGGGAUAAGCCUGGGAAACUGGGUCUAAUACCGGAUAGGACCGCACCGUGAGGGUGUGGUGGAAAGUUUUUUCGGUUUGGGAUGGGCCCGCGGCCUAUCGGCUUGUUGGUGGGGUAAUGGCCUACCAAGGCGGCGACGGGUAGCCGGCCGGAGAGGGGGGACGGCCACAAUGGGACUGCGGGACGGCGCAGUCGGCUACGGGAGGCAGCAGGCGGGAGUCUUACACAAUGGGGGGACGCCUGAUGCAGCGGCGCCGCGUGGGGGAAGACGGCCUACGGGUGGGAAACUGCUUUCACCAUAGACGAAGGUUUUCUGACGGUAGAUGGAGAAGAAGCACCGGCUAACUACGUG
rnacentral:rRNA from 1 species